AAAUAUAACUUUGUGAGGUUCUUCUCCACGUCUUCAACACAUUGUACUGGUGCACUAGUAGAAGCUGAAGAGAGAAGACAACUAAAUGUAAUUCUUAAUUUAUGUAUCUAGAAGAUAGUGUACAUACAUUCAGAAAUAUGCCUAGUGUAACAGGACAACUUUUCAGCUAAUGGAUCCCCCAUAUCCUCCUCCGGAGUGCUCAUUAAUCAGAGUUAAGACAAAUUUUAUUCAAAUAUAUUUUGCAAGUUUCACCAUAACUCAUUAAAAUAGCACUAUCUCAAAAACCAAAUCAACUCGUUCCCACAUAGAUGUAGGAGGGACUGGUGAAUCUUUGGGAGUUUGGUAAGGCAAGUAUAGAGUGCUGCACCAGGAUGAUCUACGUGGGCUCAGAAAGAUCUAUGAUUCACAAUGGUCCCUUCUGGCCUUGGAAUCUCUGAAUGUUGCUUGCCUGCAAAGAAUCUAUUUCAUUGUCUUGAAUGAGCAGCCUCCUGCUGCUGCCAGUCCUGAACUCAUCCUCAGUCCAUGAAGCAAUAGGGGGGGAAGAUGGCAUGGAGCUUGCUGCUUCUCUGUUCAAGGGCCAGGUUUUAAACAGGCAGCAACUAUCCAGAAGUGGGAAUGGGACUGGCCACAUGUUGGACAGAGGGCAUUCGAAGUGACAGCAACAAAAGAGAAACCUUCCAUUUCAUCCUUCCUAUGAGGCGAGGGCUGCUACCUGGAAGCUGCUUUUUAAAACCAAAAUUUACCCUACUAGACUGAAGGACAGAUGAUUACUUUAUCUGAGAUAACACUUCUGCUGUCAGACAUGCAAGAUUGACUAUCAUGCUGCAAUUGGAACCACAAGAAAAAACAACAACUGUUCACUAUGUGACAAGUUUAAGAUGAAGGGCAAAGCAAGACUCACACAAUACGACUCCAUAACAAUUUCUUAUUAGGAAGUACUAUUCCCCCCUCUUGUGGAAAACUAUGUUGCAAUGCACUAUGAGGGGCAAGCCACAAAGGUCAGUUAAGCCUCAGCCAAUGCAAACUCCAGUGGGCCACAUUCUUAAGUGGAACAGGUCGCCAUCAUCCAUGAAUUUUUGCUGGCUUCCAUCUCCUUCCUGAAAUGACGCAAGCUUUUCUAGUUCCUGUUCCAGACUGUGAACUUUCAGGUCACUAUUCAGCUUCUCUAUUUCCCAGCUAGAUGGAGUAGAGUUUAGAUUCCUCAUCACUACAAAAAGAUAAGCAACAGACUGAUUUCCACUCCCAUUAUAAGGUUUCAGAGUCAGACAUCAUGUCAUGGCUCAUGAUGAGUAUCUGCACCAGACAAAAUAAAAA